UGCAUACUUCCUCCGUCCGGAAAAGCUUGUCCCUCAAAUGGAUGUAUCUAGCUCCAAGUUAGUGCUAGAUACAUCCAUUUGAGAAACUAGUUUGGGACAAGUUUUUUCAGACGGAGGGAGUACCUG
rfam:Triticum aestivum genome assembly, contig: Triticum_aestivum_CS42_TGACv1_scaffold_603705_7DL